GGGCCCGCGGCGCAUUAGCUAGUUGGUGAGGUAACGGCUCACCAAGGCGACGAUGCGUAGCCGACCUGAGAGGGUGAUCGGCCACACUGGGACUGAGACACGGCCCAGACUCCUACGGGAGGCAGCAGUAGGGAAUCUUCCACAAUGGGCGAAAGCCUGAUGGAGCAACGCCGCGUGAGUGAAGAAGGUUGUCGGAUCGUAAAACUCUGUUGUAAGGGAAGAACAAGUACAGUAGUAACUGGCUGUACCUUGACGGUACCUUAUUAGAAAGCCACGGCUAACUACGUGCCAGCAGCCGCGGUAAUACGUAGGUGGCA
rnacentral:rRNA from 1 species